rnacentral:rRNA from 1 species
AGCGGCGAACGGUCGCGUAACACGUAGGCAACCUGCCCGAAAGACCGGGACAACACUCCGAAAGGGGUGCUAAUACCGGAUGUGCCCGCUUUAAGACAUCUUGGAGCGAUUAAAUCCUCUUCGGGGGGCUUUCGGAGGGGCCUGCGGCCUAUCAGCUAGAUGGCGGGGUAACGGCCCACCAUGGCGACGACGGGUAGCUGGUCUGAGAGGAUGGUCAGCCGGACUGGGACUGAGAGACGGCCCAGACUCCUACGGGGGGCAGCAAUUAGGAAUCUUGCGCAAUGGGGGCAACCCUGACGCAGCGACGCCGCGUGGAGGAGGAAGUCCUUCGGGAUGUAAACUCCUUUUCACGCAGAAGAAACCAAUGACGGUGUGCGUGGAAGAAGCCCCGGCUAACUACGUGCCAGCAGCCGCGGUAAUACGUAGGGGGCGAGCGUUGUCCGAAGUUACUGGGCGUAAAGCGCGCGUAGGCGGGGGUCCAAGUCCGCUGUGAAAGCCCGGAGCUUAACUCCGGUGGGUCGGUGGAUACUGGACUUCUUGAAGGGACUAGAGGGAGAUGGAAUUACCGGUGUAGCGGUGAAAUGCGUAGAGAUCGGUAGGAACACCCGUGGCGAAGGCGGUCUCCUGGGGUCCUCUUGACGCUG